UACAGAGGUCUCAAGCGUUGUUCGGAUUCAUUGGGCGUAAAGGGUGCGUAGGUGGCGCUGUAAGUUCGGGUGUGAAAUUUCGGAAGCUUAACUCCGAAACUGCAUUCGAUACUGCGGUGCUUGAGGACUGGAGAGGAGACUGGAAUUCAUGGUGUAGCAGUGAAAUGCGUAGAGAUCAUGAGGAAGACCAGUGGCGAAGGCGGGUCUCUGGACCGGUUCUGACGCUGAGGCGCGAAAGCGUGGGUAGCAAACAGG
rnacentral:rRNA from 1 species